rnacentral:rRNA from 1 species
GCAGUCGAGCGGUAGCACAGAGAGCUUGCUCUCGGGUGACGAGCGGCGGACGGGUGAGUAAUGUCUGGGAAACUGCCUGAUGGAGGGGGAUAACUACUGGAAACGGUAGCUAAUACCGCAUAACGUCGCAAGACCAAAGUGGGGGACCUUCGGGCCUCAUGCCAUCAGAUGUGCCCAGAUGGGAUUAGCUGGUAGGUGGGGUAACGGCUCACCUAGGCGACGAUCCCUAGCUGGUCUGAGAGGAUGACCAGCCACACUGGAACUGAGACACGGUCCAGACUCCUACGGGAGGCAGCAGUGGGGAAUAUUGCACAAUGGGCGCAAGCCUGAUGCAGCCAUGCCGCGUGUGUGAAGAAGGCCUUCGGGUUGUAAAGCACUUUCAGCGGGGAGGAAGGCGGUGAGGUUAAUAACCUCAUCGAUUGACGUUACCCGCAGAAGAAGCACCGGCUAACUCCGUGCCAGCAGCCGCGGUAAUACGGAGGGUGCAAGCGUUAAUCGGAAUUACUGGGCGUAAAGCGCACGCAGGCGGUCUGUCAAGUCGGAUGUGAAAUCCCCGGGCUCAACCUGGGAACUGCAUUCGAAACUGGCAGGCUAGAGUCUUGUAGAGGGGGGUAGAAUUCCAGGUGUAGCGGUGAAAUGCGUAGAGAUCUGGAGGAAUACCGGUGGCGAAGGCGGCCCCCUGGACAAAGACUGACGCUCAGGUGCGAAAGCGUGGGGAGCAAACAGGAUUAGAUACCCUGGUAGUCCACGCUGUAAACGAUGUCGAUUUGGAGGUUGUGCCCUUGAGGCGUGGCUUCCGGAGCUAACGCGUUAAAUCGACCGCCUGGGGAGUACGGCCGCAAGGUUAAAACUCAAAUGAAUUGACGGGGGCCCGCACAAGCGGUGGAGCAUGUGGUUUAAUUCGAUGCAACGCGAAGAACCUUACCUGGUCUUGACAUCCACAGAACUUUCCAGAGAUGGAUUGGUGCCUUCGGGAACUGUGAGACAGGUGCUGCAUGGCUGUCGUCAGCUCGUGUUGUGAAAUGUUGGGUUAAGUCCCGCAACGAGCGCAACCCUUAUCCUUUGUUGCCAGCGGUUAGGCCGGGAACUCAAAGGAGACUGCCAGUGAUAAACUGGAGGAAGGUGGGGAUGACGUCAAGUCAUCAUGGCCCUUACGACCAGGGCUACACACGUGCUACAAUGGCAUAUACAAAGAGAAGCGACCUCGCGAGAGCAAGCGGACCUCAUAAAGUAUGUCGUAGUCCGGAUUGGAGUCUGCAACUCGACUCCAUGAAGUCGGAAUCGCUAGUAAUCGUAGAUCAGAAUGCUACGGUGAAUACGUUCCCGGGCCUUGUACACACCGCCCGUCACACCAUGGGAGUGGGUUGCAAAAGAAGUAGGUAGCUUAACCUUCGGGAGGGC